rnacentral:rRNA from 1 species
UAAACCUACGGGGCGCAGCAGUGGGGGAUAUUGCACAAUGGGGGGAACCCUGAUGCAGCGACGCCGCGUGAGUGAAGAAGUAUUUCGGUAUGUAAAGCUCUAUCAGCAGGGAAGAAGAAAGACGGUACCUGAGUAAGAAGCCCCGGCUAACUACGUGCCAGCAGCCGCGGAAAUACGUAGGGGGCAAGCGUUAUCCGGAUUUACUGGGUGUAAAGGGAGCGUAGACGGAAUGGCAAGUCUGAAGUGAAAGCACCGGGCUCAACAUGGGAAUUGCUUUGGAAACUGUUAAACUAGAGUGCUGGAGA